rnacentral:misc_RNA from 1 species
UCCGGUUUGUCACCGGCAGUCUCACUAGAGUGCCCUUUCGUAGCAACUAGUGACAGGGGUUGCGCUCGUUGCGGGACUUAACCCAACACCUCACGGCGCGAGCUGACGACAGCCAUGCACCACCUGCGCAGAAGUCCCUUGCGGGAGGUUCUCGCUUUCACGAAAAUUUCCUCUGCAUGUCAAGCCCAGGUAAGGUUCUUCGCGUUGCCUCGAAUUAAACCACACGCUCCGCUGCUUGUGCGGGCCCCCGUCAAUUCCUUCGAGUUUUAGCCUUGCGGCCGUACUCCCCAGGCGGAGUGCUUAACGCGUUAGCUGCGGCACUGGAGGGGUCAAUACCCCCAACGCCUAGCACUCAUCGUUUACGGCGUGGACUAC